rnacentral:tRNA from 1 species
UGUAGAGGAAUGGGAAUCGAACCCACAAUAUUCCGCUUACCGGGCAGAUGUCAUGUCCACUAGGCUUAUGUAUUC